rnacentral:lncRNA from 1 species
CAAGGAGAGUUUAACAGAGGUUCACCACAGAGGACCUGGUGGGACCUCAGGAGUUAGAGAUGAAUUUGUUCUUUGGCCCCAAGAGCUGAGCGCAGGCAUCUCAAACCCUUUUUUCCCCCAGGGUGUGAGGAUCAUAAGUAAUUACUAUUCAAAUUAAUUGAGAGUGCAGCAUCUGAGAGGAGUGGAGCCUUCACACCUGCAAAGGGCACCUGCUGGAGGCUCAGUCCCAGGCUGCAGGGCUGGGCUGGGCUCCUCCAGCCACAGGGGGCUCAGGCACCCACUGCCUCUGCCAUGGUGGCUCUUCCAGAAGCCACUGGCACAGCCCAGCUGCCUGCAGGGCUGUCAUACUCUGCCACCUGCAAGGUCAGCAAAGUUCCCAGUGCCCUUUCAGCCUGGUGUGAUAAACACACAGUCACAAAGGUUUUCUGAGAUGUUUCUGAACAGGAUGUGCCCUUCGUUAUCCAAACGAGGUCAAAUUUGUGCCAGCACACAGCCAUGAGUCACUGAGGCUUCGAUUGGGAUUUCUGAUUCCUGAACAAGGACUGAUGAGGCUCUCUGGUAGCCCCCAUUAAUCUUCCUCCCUGUGAGCUCUGCAUGACUGCAGCUGAGGAGGUUUUGUAUUUCAUUUGCACAAAGGGUGACAGUGCAAUGGGUCUGACAGCCAGGACAUGGAUGGGAAGGAUCCCAUCGGUGUUUUGGAUUUCAGGGCAGUCCUUUGCUGUAUCUCAGCAGUGCCUUGCAGGAAGGCAUGGAGAGGUCUCAGUCUCUCCUUGUGAGACAUGAGACAGCUUCUCCAGGGACGUGAAGGAGCUGUUCCUCACUGCCCUGGUAGGGCCAGGGCAUCUCCUCCCUGGGGAAUUCCUUAGCAUGGCAAGUGACUGCCCAGUACACGAUACCAACAGCCCUAAGCAGCAAAGCCACCUGUGCUUUCCAGCUUGGGAGGCUUCCUGCUCCACGUUGUGUGGUUUAAGUCUCUCCUUAGUAUUUCAGGAAGCUUUCAGACCAAUUAAAUCUUUAAUGAUCGCUCCCAGCUCUUUGCACAGCGGCUUUACUUCUGCCUUUGUUGCAGACAAAAUGUGUCUGUGUAUAAACUGCCUCAAACACAGCCAGAACAAGCCAAACCUUUCCCUCCCUGCUUCCUCACUCUCCUCCCUGGAUCCUGCCCUGCCAAGGAGAGCAGAAACCAGCAGCCCUGUGGACAGAGUCCCAGAAAGAUGAGGGAAUCAGUUUUCUAUUGAACCUUUCAUUCUCCAGAUAUCAAAACACUUGCUGGAGACGGGGCCUGUAGGGAAGCAGAGCUGCUAUUUAUGUGAUCAAUAAAAAGUUUUACACGGAGCCUUUGAUGCUCACAAAAGAUGGGAAAGAAUGUAGCUGAAGCGGCUGUUCACAUGAAAACAAGAUGUUUAUUGGUAUUGAAACACCCUGCUAGGCUGAAAUCAGAUGCCAACGAUGUGAGCUCAAGCCAGGACAGUUUCUUGUGGAGGGGAGAGGAGCAGGCUGGCUUUUUGCAUAGAACUUGCUAGAAUUUCCCUGUCAUUAUGUGUAAUAAUAGAAGGAUAAAUGCACAGCAUGGUGAUAAGAUUGAGGCUGGAGCCAAGGGGGACAGAGCCAAUAACUUUUUAUAUAUUUUUCUGCCACGUGAAUUUUUCACACCUUGAACUACUUUUCCUUGGUUUUCUUCUUCUUCGUCUUCUUUUUUUUUAUUGAGGCAACUGCCAAUAAAAGAAACUAAUGGGUUAGAAACCACGUAAGCAAUCUCCCACUGAGCUUUAUUCCCCACAGGCUCAUUGCAUCAAAGAGAAAGCAGCAAAAUAGGGCGACCAAAUGCUAUGUGGCAAUGAAAACAAGUUGGCUGCUCUCAGCUCUGUCCCCCACACAGGGCAGGUCACGUUGCCUGGAGGGGCUGUUGCACUUGUGGGGUUGUGGCAGCCACCCAGGCUGGGGUGAAGAAGAAAUCUGGGGGCUUUUCACAAGGCAGCAAAGCUCCUGCCUUUGCUCUGCCUUAAUCCAUCCCCACUCCAAAUGCAAAUACAUCUCUCCAGCUGCUCCACUUCUUCCUGUGCCACCUCCACACUUGGGGAUGAGGUUUCUUACUUGCUGUCAUUCCUCUCUCACUGUGUUUGAAUCCUGUUUUCUGGUUGGAAGGUGCAGAGACACAAUUCAUCCCAUGAAUCCCCUGCCUGCCCCUUCAUCAGGAAGGGUAGUUUCAUCCCUCUCACAAUGUCUUGCUCUCCUCACUCCAACUUACUGACCUUAGCCAUGUCCAAUUAGCAAAUCCCAGCCUCCCGUACAGAGCAGAUAUUAUUUCCACCUCACUCAAUCUUACCACUCCACCAGUUUUUGUUGUGCUCUUUUUUCCAGCACUUGGCAAUUUUGCUCCAUAAUAAUGGGAUCAGCAUCUCAUAAUUAGUGCAAACCAGGGUACAGUGUCCUGGGGCAUGAGACAUGGUGGGAAAACACCGACUGUCCCCAGUGUUUCCUGGGAGAUGUCAGCCCUGGGUUUUGAAAGCACUCUGGAGGGAGGAAAUGCUGGCCACUGCACACAGAUGUAGGCUGGGGAUAGUGCAGCAUUAAAUCUUGUGCUCUGGGCAUGAAACCUUGCAGACAGCACAGAGCAAUAGUAGCUACACCAUGUGCAACUUUAUCAGGGCUCUGAAAGUUGGAAGUAAGACUUUAUGAAGGAUAAACUGAAGGAUUUUGGUAAAGGCUUAUCCUCCUCCUAAAUCCUGCUGGCUCCACAGCCACAGUUUGCUCAGUGGGGUGAGAAAUGCAGCUCAGGGCGUCUUGCACCCACUCCCCAGCACCAAUUCUUGCUUUUGCCUCUCUCCAUAGAUCUCCUCUCCCAUCCUGUGCAGGCACAGCUGUGGAGCUGCUCCUAAUUUCCUGUGUUACUCAGUCACAAGCAGUGCUGCUGCGAACAGCCUCUAAAAGGAAACGGGGAAGAGCAUUAGGAGAUAAUAAGUCUUAUUAACAGCUUGGAGAAUCUGCAUUUUAGAGUGAGAACCACACUUAAAAAUCAGGAGAGACAAAGGGGCGCCUUGCAAAAGUGAGUGUUGCCUGGGCAACAUCAGCAUCUGCAUCCCUACAUCCCCCCAGCCCUGUGCUUAGCAAAUAUCCUCACCGUGGUCCUUCCUUCCAUGCAGGCUCAGAUUUACACUUUGCUCCCUCUCACUCACGUCUGCAUCUGCUUCUCUGAGAUGAAUGCACAGGGAUUGGCACACAAAGUCUACAUAUGCUGCUGGCAAGGAAUGAAUCUUCCUUCAGUCUUUCGUCUUGUCCCUCCUGCUGUGCUCUGCAGAGUCCCAGUUCUGCUUGCACACAGCGCAGGCUUCACCCCACUCCCGUGCCUUCAGACAGAGCUGGGUGCACUUGUGCCCUCAGCUCAUGUAUCAGGCUGUGUCUCAUCUCAAAGUUACAUUUGUGUAGUAGUUAGACUUGAGAACAGCUGCUUUUCUUCUUUUCCUGCUUUUUUUCCCAACACUGGAAAAGAAAAACACACUCAUCUUCCAGAGCUGGGAGUUCUUUUGACAGCAGAACAAUCUGAUGGAUGUGCCAGGACAUCAUUUCAUCAGAAUCUCAAACCACGAGGUUGCCUACUGCCCUUAUUCUUGUCAUUUGAAUCCUCUUGAUGUGUAAGACCACAUUAAAGUCCUGUAAGAGAGAAGUGCUGCACAGCUCCUUGGCAGAGAGCUGCAGUGGCUCAUCCAUCCAGUCCUGGGAUGGCCCAGGUGGAUGGCAGCUCUUGGAUAGUUCAUUGGAAUGAAACAACAAAGUUCUGCAGGGACCUAAUCCUCCUCCAGCAUCAUUUUCCAAAGGAAGAAAAGGACAGCUUCUGGUAUUUAUUGUCUGCAGUUUUCUCCACAAAAAUAGGUGUGUUUUUCUUUCAUUUUGCCAAUGGCAAAAGGAAUUUGUCUUUCUUACACCUUUUACUCGUCUCUGAUUGCUGGCGGUUUUUAACAUCUGGAGCAGCAGGCUGGUGGCCAGAUUUCUGAAGGUGUUUAAGCAUCAACAGAUGCACCUGGGUACCUGGAGGGAUUUUUCCAAAAGCAUUUUGCUGUAAUUGCUUAUGAUAUUCUUCACUUCCCAUCCUGAUCUCCUCCGUAGCAUCCCUGUUCCUGCCAGUAUUGCAUCUCCUUCUGCUGACCUGAGUUGGAUUUUGCUUCUUUUCUUACUUUUAGUCCCAGAACUCCAGGGAACUCUACAAAGAGAGCAGAAAAAAUUGCUGCACAUGGUUAGAUUUGGGUAGACUUUAGUGUCCUUAUAAAUACUGAAGGGAUGAUGAGAGAGUUUGUGCUUUCAUUUACAGCAGCACAACUUCAGUACAGGCAGGGUCUUAUGUGAUGUACAGAGAAAUCAACUGCCUGCUUCCUUUGAAAUGCAAAAUAUUCCUGUGUUGCAACAGGAUGGCUAAAUUUGCCAGUGGAUUUUGAGCUUUUGUGUGGUUUUUUAAUUUACAGACAGCUUCCUUGUCACACUUGCUCUCUAUUUUGGGGGUCAUGUUUGUGUUGUUAUUAACAGCCAGGUAAAAAACGGAGGGAAAUUUGCAGGCAGAGCUGCAGAAAUUAGUGACCCGAGCUGGUUUCCUCCGCCGGGACAAGCUGCAGGAGCCACCACAGCCCAGGGUUGUUAUUCCAGAGCAAAGAGACUGCAAUUUCCAUCCUGCAGUGCCAUCUAUAGCGCAGCGCAGAGCACAGCAAACCACGCUCCAAAAAUCACACCACGACCCAAAAAAAAACCCCAAAGGAGGCAGCAGGCUGUGAGAGACCUUCCUGCAGUGAAUUAAAUUGGCAAUUUAGGGGCCAUGGGCCAUGUUGUGUUGGACUGGAUGGCAGUGGAGGUGUGAGUAGCACCUGCCCUCCUGUCUGGCUGACCAUAAUUUUUGUGGAGUUUGCAACACAAUUCCAUCCCCUUCAAAUCAAUGCAGAAAUGGCUACCUUUCUCCAGGGGACAGCUCAAGAUACACCAAAUCAGAUGUGUGAAACCAAAACCCAUUUUGACUCUGAUGAGCAAAGGGAAUUUCUCUUUAUUUUUUAUUUUUGAACCAGAUGUUGCUUUCAUGCUCUGAAACCUCUGAAACAGCUGAAUGGAUUUUCUUCAGAAUCCUCACAUGAACAAAAAUUCACCUUUGGGCUGUGAACAAGCUUAAGAAAUUGCACUGUGAUGGAGAUUAUUUUUUUCUUCCCCUCCCCUCUUCUUUUUUUUUGAUUUUGAAAGUUAAAAGGAUCCUAAAAUAGAAGCUGAGAAUUGGAUUAAACAUCUCUCCGUUAACUCUCAGCACUGCUCCAAGUCUGCAAUUAUCAUUUCUUAAGGUGCCUGGCUCCCAUCCUUCUUAGACUUCCAGCUGCCACCUUUUUUAUUAAAAUAACUGCUAAAAUAAUGUUGAGGACCAGCCCAUCUCUAGCUCAAUGUGAAGAGGGAGCUUUGCUGAGAAAAGUAAGAGAAAGCCCAGGUUUGGCCCAAUUUCCUGUGCCUCCAAAACUGACCUGGGAGACUGGGGAAGGAAAAGGAGAUCACAGGAGAAAUCCCACUGUGCUCCUCGUGACUGACCAGCAUCCUGUGGCUGGAGGGGCAGAGUGUGGCACUGCCAAGUGCUCUGGCCUGGGCCAAUAUGUAUCACGAGACCUGCAAUGUUAACAGAGCAGAAAAAUCACCCAGUUCACUGCCAGGAAUGAAUAAACACCUCACAGACUUCUUUCCUGACCUAAAUCUGGCUAGAAAACUACAUGAGAAAUAAAGGGUGUAGUUAUAUCUAUGCCACCUGUGGUUGCUGAAGAAACCUUAUAAUAUUGUGGAAAUCUGGGGUUUGUUCCCAUUUGUUUGCCAAGAUCAAGCUCAAGAGCAGCUUCCAACAGAAAGGGUCAUAGAAUUGUAGAAUUAUUUAAGUUGAAAAAGACUUUUAGGAUCAUUGAGUUCAAUCAUUAAUCCAGCACUGCCAGACUCACCGCUGAACCACAUCCCUCAGUCACACAUCUACACAUCUUUUAAAUAUGUCCAUGAUACCUUAUCCCAACAACAGCCUCAUGGGAAGAUUUAUUAAUAGUCUUGGGAAAUGCAUAUCUGCCAUAUAAAAGUCCCUUUCUGUGUUGUAUGGGAAUAUCUAGGUGUGUUGGAUGCUUGAGGAAUGUUUUCAUUGACGAAGGAUGAGCAAAAAUCAUCAUCUCCUGCUCUCACCACUAAUUUUCAGUGCCUCCAUUUGUGCUGAUCAAAUGUGUUGCACCAGGAAUGGGGCAGACAAAGGCCUGUGUCAGCACAGGAGGAAAGCAGGGUGGGAUUUGUGAGUGUCUGAAUGAGGGAUUUCAGUCACCCAAGUGCACUGGAGAUGGAGGGGGAGCCGUUUGUAACCUCUGGAAGGGAUUUGUUGGGAGCAGCCCUUCCCGUGGAGGAGCCAGACAGACUCUGAGCAAACAGAUGUGUUAGUUUGGCCAGUGGCUGUUUUAACAGAAAAUGAUGUGCUAAAUCAAGCCCUGGGAAACAAAUUGCACACUCAGCGUGGCUGGAAGGCUGGCCUCUGGCACAGACAGCUGUUCUCAGCAGAGGCACAUCCACCUCCUGCAGGACCUGCUGCCAGGAUCUGCCUUUGGCAAUGCUGGAUGGAAGGAGCAAAAGCCAGACACAAAGACAGCUUCAGCACCUGGGUGCUGUGUUUGCUGGCAAAGUGUGUGUGUGCUUUUCCAGGGUUUCCUCUAAGGAAAGUGCAGCAUGGUGCUGCCUGCUGGAGGUUUGGCUUGGGGUGGGAGCAAAGCAGAUGUGCACAAGGAAGGACUAGAGCCUGCUUGGCUAAAGCCCUUUGGGCAAGCCAAGGUGCUGCUGGAGAGAUGAGAUACAGACAGUGGGAACAGCAUCUCCUGCUCUCGAGGUGAAUGCAGGAUGGGCUAACCCAGAAACUCCCUUUAGCCUCUAAGCAAACAAAAUCAGCAGUAACCCCCAGCUAUUUCCACCUACAGUAAUUCCUCCCAAAGUUCUUGCAAGCCCAGUUCAAUUUUUCUGUAAUUCCUGUGUGUGUAUCUGCAAAUAGCCGAUUACUUGUGCUAGACCCUGCCAAUAAAUUGUGUGCUUAUUUGUUUCCCUUC